UGGUGGGUAGUUUGACUGGGGCGGUCUCCUCCUAAAGAGUAACGGAGGAGCACGAAGGUCAGCUAAUCCUGGUCGGACAUCAGGAGGUUAGUGCAAUGGCAUAAGCUGGCUUGACUGCGAGCGUGACGGCGCGAGCAGGUGCGAAAGCAGGUCAUAGUGAUCCGGUGGUUCUGAAUGGAAGGGCCAUCGCUCAACGGAUAAAAGGUACUCCGGGGAUAACAGGCUGAUACCGCCCAAGAGUUCAUAUCGACGGCGGUGUUUGGCACCUCGAUGUCGGCUCAUCACAUCCUGGGGCUGAAGUAGGUCCCAAGGGUAUGGCUGUUCGCCAUUUAAAGUGGUACGCGAGCUGGGUUUAGAACGUCGUGAGACAGUUCGGUCCCUAUCUGCCGUGGGCGCUGGAGAACUGAGGGGGGCUGCUCCUAGUACGAGAGGACCGGAGUGGACGCAUCACUGGUGUUCGGGUUGUCAUGCCAAUGGCACUGCCCGGUAGCUAAAUGCGGAAGAGAUAAGUGCUGAAAGCAUCUAAGCACGAAACUUGCCCCGAGAUGAGUUCUCCCUGACUCCUUGAGAGUCCUGAAGGAACGUUGAAGACGACGACGUUGAUAGGCCGGGUGUGUAAGCGCAGCGAUGCGUUGAGCUAACCGGUACUAAUGAACCGUGAGGCUUAACCUU
rnacentral:rRNA from 1 species